GAUGAACGCUAGCGGCAGGCCUAACACAUGCAAGUCGAGGGGUAGAACACUUCGGUGUUUGAGACCGGCGCACGGGUGCGUAACGCGUAUGCAAUCUACCUUGUACAGGGGAAUAGCCCAGAGAAAUUUGGAUUAAUGCCCCAUAGUAUAUAACCUUCGCAUGUUGGUUAUAUUAAAGUUCCAACGGUACAAGAUGAGCAUGCGUCCCAUUAGUCAGUUGGUAAGGUAACGGCUUACCAAGACGAUGAUGGGUAGGGGUCCUGAGAGGGAGAUCCCCUAGACUCGUACUGAGACACGGACCAGACGCCUACGGGAGGCAGCAGUGAGGAAUAUUGGUCAAGAGGCGCAAGCCUGAACCAGCCAUGCCGCGUGCAGGAAGACGGUCCUAUGGAUUGUAAACUGCUUUUGUUAGGGAAGAAACUUCCGUACGUGUACGGGACUGACGGUACCUAAAGAAUAAGGAUCGGCUAACUCCGUGCCAGCAGCCGCGGUAACAC
rnacentral:rRNA from 1 species